CAACACGGGAGAGAUGGCCACUCUCCCGCCGCGGCAACCAGCGGAGAUUCCUGAUAAGGGCACCCAUUCCUCCCCUACACACCAGCGGGGGUUAUCCCGGUCCCCACCAAACAGAUCCACACUCAUACACCGACUCCUUGCACCCACGAUAUCCCGCAAGCAGAACAAGGCGGGCCUAGCCUCCAGGCCUUACCUCGCCAGGCGCCUACACGUGAGAGAAAAUAGAGCGCUUCCUCCAAUGCCUAGAUGCAAUCUUCCAGCAAGUCUGGGAACAGAUAGAAGAGCGCCUGGCACCACAGCCACCAACACCUGGGCAGGAGGCGAAGAAAGCUGGUGAUGACGGGUCGAGUGCAGCUCACUAAGGCGGAAUCCGGCCUGGUGCACACAUCACCCAAGCUGCCUGCCUACUCAGGCUGAAGGCCAUGUGGAGAAAGUCUCCACAGCAUCGCCCACGACACUGGAGGACCCCCCCGCAGCAGGCGACGGCAAAACAUCAAGGGAGAUACCCAGCCGCCUAGCGAGUCUGUGGACUACAGAUGCAGCCCUUCCAACAGUCCUGGGGCUGGAGUGAGGACUCCAGUGGUCCACACGUCACCAUGACCAUCUGGACCCCCCAGCCCCCUACUGUCACAAUGCGGACCCUCCAGGGCCAAAGCACCUUGUAUGGGUAUAGGAUGAAA